rnacentral:rRNA from 1 species
UACAGAGGUGGCAAGCGUUGUUCGGAAUUACUGGGCGUAAAGGGCGCGUAGGCGGUCUUCUAAGUCUUGUGUGAAAUCCCUCGGCUCAACUGAGGAACUGCACGGGAUACUGGAAGACUUGAGUUCGGGAGAGGGAAGCGGAAUUCCGGGUGUAGCGGUGAAAUGCGUAGAUAUCCGGAGGAACACCGGGGGCGAAGGCGGCUUCCUGGACCGAUUACUGACGCUGAGGCGCGAAAGCUAGGGGAGCAAACGGG